rnacentral:rRNA from 1 species
CCUACGGGAGGCAGCAGUCGAGAAUCAUUCACAAUGGGGGAAACCCUGAUGGUGCGACGCCGCGUGGGGGAAUGAAGGUCUUCGGAUUGUAAACCCCUGUCAUGUGGGAGCAAAUUAAAAAGAUAGUACCACAAGAGGAAGAGACGGCUAACUCUGUGCCAGCAGCCGCGGUAAUACAGAGGUCUCAAGCGUUGUUCGGAAUCACUGGGCGUAAAGCGUGCGUAGGCUGUUUCGUAAGUCGUGUGUGAAAGGCGCGGGCUCAACCCGCGGACGGCACAUGAUACUGCGAGACUAGAGUAAGGGAGGGGGAAGCGGAAUUCUCGGUGUAGCAGUGAAAUGCGUAGAUAUCGAGAGGAACACUCGUGGCGAAGGCGGGUUCCUGGACAUUAACUGACGCUGAGGCACGAAGGCCAGGGGAGCGAAAGGGAUUAGAUACCCCAGUAGUC